UUGGUAUUAGGUUAUUAUAUGAUAAAAUAAACAAAAAGGAAUAAAAAUAUCAUUUUUAUUUCUUUGCUCAUCUUCUUCCACCGUUUUUCACCAAGAGAAUAGCCAUUGGAGAACUCAAAUUUUCAGCAAACUUAAACCCUUGCAUAUCAAAGAAAAUGAGGUUCGGACCUAGAACGGGGGGAAAAACGAGAAUUGACUGUUAUGUCCCUUUUUGCCCUUUUGGUGUCGAGGUUUAUAUAGCUAGCUCGGGUUGGAGAUCGCCGGAGAUGUUAUCACACUAUCAAAUUAUCAUUUGGGUAUAAGUGAAUGCAAGUAAUUUAAGUUUAUGGCAUGUAUAGGGACUUUGUCUUUUGAAUUUUUGUGUCAUUGUUAAUGAGGCCAAAUGUGUUGGCCUAAUAUAGUUUAUGGUUCAAUUGAUAUACAAUUAUGAAUGAUGGCUUAUGUUGAUUAUAAGCUUAUGCAUGUGUUAAUGCCUUGUGUGAAUGUGAAGCUAAUAUUUUUUUAAUGAUCUAAA